GACGAACGCUGGCGGCGUGCUUAACACAUGCAAGUCGAACGGAAAGGCCCCUUUGGGGGUACUCGAGUGGCGAACGGGUGAGUAACACGUGAGUAACCUGCCCUUGACUUCGGGAUAACUUCAGGAAACUGGGUCUAAUACCGGAUAGGAAUCCUUGCUGCAUGGUGGGGGUUGGAAAGCUUCGGCGGUUGUGGAUGGACUCGCGGCUUAUCAGCUUGUUGGUGGGGUAGUGGCUUACCAAGGCUUUGACGGGUAGCCGGCCUGAGAGGGCGACCGGCCACAUUGGGACUGAGAUACGGCCCAGACUCCUACGGGAGGCAGCAGUGGGGAAUAUUGCACAAUGGGCGGAAGCCUGAUGCAGCAACGCCGCGUGCGGGAGGACGGGCUUCGGGUUGUAAACCGCUUUCAGCAGGGGCGAAGCUUGUGGUGACGGUACCUGCAGAAGAAGCACCGGCUAACUACGUG
rnacentral:rRNA from 1 species